CCUACGGGGGGCUGCAGUGGGGAAUAUUGCGCAAUGGGCGAAAGCCUGACGCAGCGACGCCGCGUGAGGGAUGAAGGUCUUCGGAUCGUAAACCUCUGUCAGCAGGGAAGAACGGCCACUGUGCUAAUCAGCAGUGAAUUGACGGUACCUGCAAAGGAAGCACCGGCUAACUCCGUGCCAGCAGCCGCGGUAAUACGGAGGGUGCGAGCGUUAAUCGGAAUUACUGGGCGUAAAGCGCUCGUAGGCGGUAUGUCAAGUCAAGGGUGAAAUCCCCGCGCUCAACGUGGGAACUGCCUUUGAAACUGGCAAACUGGAGUGUGUGAGAAGUAUGCGGAAUGCGUGGUGUAGCGGUGAAAUGCAUAGAUAUCACGCAGAACUCCGAUUGCGAAGGCAGCAUACCGGCGCUCAACUGACGCUCAUGCACGAAAGUGUGGGUAUCGAACAGGAUUAGAUACCCUGGUAGUC
rnacentral:rRNA from 1 species